rnacentral:lncRNA from 1 species
UAUUUUCUUCAGGAAGGCAGAGCUUUGUUUCAUCUUCUGCUAUAUAUCCUACAAGCUGUACUUUUUUUUUUAAUACUGAGAAAACCACAUCGCAGUAUCUCCUGAAUGUCCAGAGUUUUGCAGCUCAGAUCUUCUGUCUGACAGCUAAGUGUCUAUACAACCAUCCACAGUCUGUGUCUCCUUUCUACCUGCAUGGAUUUCUGAGUCAUACAAAUGCUGUGUGUGAGAAAACCGAAGAUGGGGGAAGAGAGCAGCUGAGGAAAAGAAACAGUGACGUGGUGCAGAAAUGAUGAAGAAGAAACAACAGGGAUGGAAUGCAAUGCUUUUCGGUGUUCACCUUAGCAAAGAAAAAGUCCUCAACAUUAAAGAAAGGAGGGUUUGCAUGGGGUGUUCGCUAUUUUUCUUUACUCUGGGAUACAUUGCACUUUUACUAAUCCUUUGUUAACUAUCCACGUAUGUCUUUACAGGCAGGAGGCAUAAAUUUGAAGUGAAGCAGCACAUGAAGACAUGACCUUCUCCCAACAGUCAUUUUGUUUGAACCACUAUAGCUAGGCUUGAAUCUCAAUUUCCCCUUUACCUUUCUGUCUUUGAAAAUGUAUUAUCACUAACGCCCUAGACAUGUAGGACACAUCUCCAGAGAGACCUCACCAGGACCCCUGCAUUCAUAUCUGAAUAAAAAGCAGAGUGCUGACA